rnacentral:rRNA from 1 species
GGGGAAUAUUGUACAAUGGGGGAAACCCUGAUGCAGCGACGCCGCGUGGAGGAAGAAGGUCUUCGGAUUGUAAACUCCUGUUGUUGGGGAAGAUAAUGACGGUACCCAACAAGGAAGUGACGGCUAACUACGUGCCAGCAGCCGCGGUAAAACGUAGGUCACAAGCGUUGUCCGGAAUUACUGGGUGUAAAGGGAGCGCAGGCGGGAAGACAAGUUGGAAGUGAAAUCUAUGGGCUCAACCCAUAAACUGCUUUCAAAACUGUUUUUCUUGAGUAGUGCAGAGGUAGGCGGAAUUCCCGGUGUAGCGGUGGAAUGCGUAGAUAUCGGGAGGAACACCAGUGGCGAAGGCGGCCUACUGGGCACCAACUGACGCUGAGGCUCGAAAGUGUGGGUAGCAAACAGGAUUAGAUACCCUGGUAGUCCACACCGUAAACGAUGAUUACUAGGUGUUGGAGGAUUGACCCCUUCAGUGCCGCAGUUAACACAAUAAGUAAUCCACCUGGGGAGUACGACCGCAAGGUUGAAACUCAAAGGAAUUGACGGGGGCCCGCACAAGCAGUGGAGUAUGUGGUUUAAUUCGACGCAACGCGAAGAACCUUACCAAGUCUUGACAUCCCUUGACAGGCAUAGAAAUAUGUUUUCUCUUCGGAGCAAGGAGACAGGUGGUGCAUGGUUGUCGUCAGCUCGUGUCGUGAGAUGUUGGGUUAAGUCCCGCAACGAGCGCAACCCUUAUGGUCAGUUACUACGCAAGAGGACUCUGGCCAGACUGCCGUUGACAAAACGGAGGAAGGUGGGGAUGACGUCAAAUCAUCAUGCCCUUUAUGACUUGGGCUACACACGUACUACAAUGGCGUUAAACAAAGAGAAGCAAGACCGCGAGGUGGAGCAAAACUCAGAAACAACGUCCCAGUUCGGACUGCAGGCUGCAACUCGCCUGCACGAAGUCGGAAUUGCUAGUAAUCGUGGAUCAGCAUGCCACGGUGAAUACGUUCCCG